CCGGUGGCGGCUGGGCAUGCGGCGCAUUAGCUUGACGGCGGGGUAACGGCCCACCGUGGCGACGAUGCGUAGGGGUUCUGAGAGGAAGGCCCCCCACACUGGAACUGAGACACGGUCCAGACUCCUACGGGAGGCAGCAGUGAGGAAUAUUGGUCAAUGGGCGGAAGCCUGAACCAGCCAAGUCGCGUGAGGGAAUAAGGCCCUACGGGUCGUAAACCUCUUUUGCCGGGGAGCAAGGGCCGGGACGCGUCCCGGCCCGGAGAGUACCCGGAGAAAAAGCAUCGGCUAACUCCGUGCCAGCAGCCGCGGUAAUACGGAGGAUGCGAGCGUUAUCCGGAUUUAUUGGGUUUAAAGGGUGCGUAGGCGGGCUUUUAAGUCAGCGGUAAAAAUUCGGGGCUCAACCCCGUCCGGCCGUUGAAACUGGGGGCCUUGAGUGGGCGAGAAGAAGGCGGAAUGCGUGGUGUAGCGGUGAAAUGCAUAGAUAUCACGCAGAACCCCGAUUGCGAAGGCAGCCUUCCGGCGCCCUACUGACGCUGAGGCACGAAAGUGCGGGGAUCGAACAGGAUUAGAUACCCUGGUAGUCCGCACAGUAAACGAUGGAUGCCAGCUGUCCGGGCCGAAUGGGGCCUGG
rnacentral:rRNA from 1 species